UACAGAGGAGCCAAGCGUUGUCCGGAUUGACUGGGCGUAAAGCGCACGCAGGCGGUGGUGCGCGUGGGGUGUGAAAUCUGGCCGCUUAACGGCCAGGCGCCAUCCCAUACGGCACGACUGGAGGGCUGCAGAGGUCGAUGGAAUUGCCGGUGUAGUGGUGAAAUGCGUAGAUAUCUGGAGGAACACCGGUGGCGAAGGCGACAUCCUGGACCGGUAUUGACGCUGAGGCGCGAAAGCCAGGGGAGCAAACGGG
rnacentral:rRNA from 1 species